rnacentral:misc_RNA from 1 species
AAGUCGUAACAAGGUUUCCGUAGGUGAACCUGCGGAAGGAUCAUUACCGAGAUAGGGUUUUUCGGGGCCCGACCUCCAACCCUUUAUCUAUCUACCUCUGUUGCCUCGGCGGGACGCCGGCGCUUAGGCGCCGCCGUCGGCCUUCGGGCUCUCGAGCGCCCGCCGAAGGGCCAUUUCAAACUCUUAACAAAGCAAACUGAGUGAAUUAUUCAAUAUUUUAAAA